GACGAACGCUGGCGGCGCGCCUAACACAUGCAAGUCGAACGAGCGAGAGAGAGCUUGCUUUCUCGAGCGAGUGGCGAACGGGUGAGUAACGCGUGAGGAACCUGCCUCAAAGAGGGGGACAACAGUUGGAAACGACUGCUAAUACCGCAUAAGCCCACGGCUCGGCAUCGAGCAGGGGGAAAAGGAGCAAUCCGCUUUGAGAUGGCCUCGCGUCCGAUUAGCUAGUUGGUGAGGUAACGGCCCACCAAGGCGACGAUCGGUAGCCGGACUGAGAGGUUGAACGGCCACAUUGGGACUGAGACACGGCCCAGACUCCUACGGGAGGCAGCAGUGGGGAAUAUUGCACAAUGGGGAAACCCUGAUGCAGCGACGCCGCGUGGAGGAAGAAGGUCUUCGGAUUGUAAACUCCUGUUGUUGGGGAAGAUAAUGACGGUACCCAACAAGGAAGUGACGGCUAACUACGUG
rnacentral:rRNA from 1 species